rfam:Brachypodium distachyon strain Bd21 unplaced genomic scaffold super_26, whole genome shotgun sequence.
UAUCUACUCCCUCCGAUCCAUAUUAAUUGUCGAAAUAUUACAUGUAUAUAGACGCUUUUUAAACAUAAAUACAUCCGUAGUUGGACAAAUUUGAAACAAUUAAUAUGGAUCGGAGGGAGUAACAA